UUCAUUUCUUCAGGUCAAUAUUUUAACUCCCAGAUUUUGGUAAACAUCUCCAGAUUUUGAAAGUACAUUUCCACAUCUCCAGAAUUCUUCAAGAAGUAGAAAAAAGCAAUGGAUUAGAGUAUCUUAGAGUAAUGACAUUCCGAAGUCUUACAGGUGAAGUACUUCUACUACGAAUAGAUUCGUAGUAGGAUCUACAACAGGUAUGAGCAACCCUUUUUGAGAAGCAGGCCACAUGAGACACGAGGCCACACUAUAAAGAAAUUCAAGAUGGCAGGGUAUGAUUUGAAAGGGACUUAGCUGCUCUUCCUAGCAGGUUAAGCAUCCACAAGGCGACUCCCUCAUUAAAAAUUGCAUUUGGUGGCGGUGGGAAGAUGGGAGAUGCAAUAGAAAAAAAUAUAAAUAUAUAAAUGAAGAAAUAUAUAUAUAAAUGAAAUAAUAAACAAACUGAAGAAUU